rnacentral:rRNA from 1 species
GAUGAACGCUGGCGGCGUGCCUAAUACAUGCAAGUCGAGCGAGCAGACGAGGAGCUUGCUCCUUUGACGUUAGCGGCGGACGGGUGAGUAACACGUGGAUAACCUACCUAUAAGACUGGGAUAACUUCGGGAAACCGGAGCUAAUACCGGAUAACAUGUUGAACCGCAUGGUUCAACAGUGAAAGACGGUCUUGCUGUCACUUAUAGAUGGAUCCGCGCCGCAUUAGCUAGUUGGUAAGGUAACGGCCUACCAAGGCAACGAUGCGUAGCCGACCUGAGAGGGUGAUCGGCCACACUGGAACUGAGACACGGUCCAGACUCCUACGGGAGGCAGCAGUAGGGAAUCUUCCGCAAUGGGCGAAAGCCUGACGGAGCAACGCCGCGUGAGUGAAGAAGGUCUUCGGAUCGUAAAACUCUGUUAUUAGGGAAGAACAAAUGUGUAAGUAACUAUGCACGUCUUGACGGUACCUAAUCAGAAAGCCACGGCUAACUACGUG